CAGCAGUCGCGGCAACACAAGGAAGACAAGUGUUAUUCAUCUUAAAUCGGUUUAAAGGGUACCUAGACGGUAAAUUAGGCCUUAAAUGGAACGUUUUUACUAGAGUUAUAUAUGCAUGAGGAAUAGAGUAUUACCAGAGUAGAGAUGAAAUUUUUUGAUACUGUUAAGACUGGUAAAGGCAAAAGCAAACCUUUAUAUAUUAACUGACGUUGAGGGACGAAGGCUUGGGGAGCAAACAGGAUUAGAUACCCUAAUAGUCCAGGCAGAGAAUUAUGAAUGUCAUAGAAUAGAUAAUAAUAUUUAUCCUAUAAAUGAAAGUGUAAGCAUUCCACCUCAAGAGUAAUGUGGCAACGCAGGAACUGAAAUCAUUAGACCGUUUCUGAUACCAGUAGUGAAGUAUGUCGUUCAAUUUGUUAACCCUCAAAAAACCUUACCACAAUUUGAAUAUAUUUAAUAGAUAUCUAUACUUUUUUAUUUAUAUCUUUAUUUAUACAAGCGUUGCAUUGUUGUCUUCAGUUAAUGUUGUGAGAUUUUGGUUAGAUUCAUAAAAUUAACGUAAUCCUAUAUUCUAUUUAAAUAUUAAUAGAUUAGUUCACCGCUAUAUUGUAUAUUGAUAACCGGGAGUAAGACUAGUCGUAAUGACCUUAAUAUUGUGGGCUAUGAGACGUGCCACA
rnacentral:rRNA from 1 species